rnacentral:rRNA from 1 species
UACAGAGGUGGCAAGCGUUGUUCGGAAUUACUGGGCGUAAAGGGCGCGUAGGCGGCCUUCUAAGUCGGACGUGAAAUCCCUCGGCUCAACCGAGGAACUGCGUCUGAUACUGGAAGGCUUGAAUCCGGGAGAGGGAUGUGGAAUUCCAGGUGUAGCGGUGAAAUGCGUAGAUAUCUGGAGGAACACCGGUGGCGAAGGCGGCAUUCUGGACCAAUAUUGACGCUGAGGAGCGAAAGCCAGGGGAGCAAACGGG